AUUUGUCCUUCGCAUGCAUUCUAGUUCAUUAAUCGCUUGUGGAGUCGAAGAGAGCCACCGUUACUUCAAAUUGGCAUCACUUGUAGGUUGUGGAGUUAAGGAGAGCCACCGUUGCUUCAAAUUGGCAUUGUGGUUGCUUUAUCAGCUUUUAAGCUAUAUGGCCUAAUCACAAUACCAAACAAUGCGGCCGUAAUAAGCAUUGCUUCAAAUUGGCAUUGUGGUUGCUUUAUCAGCUUUUAAGCUAUAUAGCCUAAUCACAAUACCAAACAAUGCGGCCAUAAUAAGCAUUUGCAUUCAAUGACGACAUCAAAUGUCUCGCUCGUACUAGGCAGGUCUCUUACUGAUGGAAAUCAUGGGCACAUCGGAAAGUCUCGGUACGUCGUUCUCAAUUUUAUUAAUGAGUGAUAUCGCGAGUGGGCCAAACUCCAUUCUUGAAGCAACAUUUUCUACAAGUACUCGUGUUGACAGGACAACGGGUUGCACUCGACAUUAAAGAUCCAUUGGAAUUGAGAUUGAACAAUUAUAACUUAAAAGAUACAAUAUUAAAGUAUAUUUAUUAUAUUUUUAAUAAUUUUAUUAAAAUUAUUAUUUAAAAAUAGUAUGUACUAUAUAUACUAUUAAUUUUUAUUUCAUAGUUACUUUUUUUUUUCACAACAGCUAUAAUUUAAAAGUUACAUCAUCUCAAUUCCAAAUAAAGUCUAAUUCGGUGGAUGGACGGUGGGUUUCUUUUAUCUAUAUUUACAACGAGCGACUCCUUUUUGAAACCAUUAGAGUGAAAACUUAAAGCCAUAGAGACACUUUGAAAGUAUUUUUUUCAUUCUCUUCAUUCUUAGGUGGUGCGGAUUUACCAUUUCAUUGCAUACCAUUAUUUGUACUUGUUCCAUGGUGUGUAUAUAAAACCCGUUUAUUAAUGAUAAAAUUACCUGAGAUUAAGGUACGUGGCUGGGUAGGUGAGGUGCCAGAAUCAAGGAACGGGCCAUGCGAGGUCCACCACCAUCAUGGGAUUUGUUGACAUAGUAUUCAACACUAUGCUUUUUACUUUCUCAGAAUUAAACACAAUCACAAUGUAGUUCUAUAAAUUGACUUGUAUAAUAUAAAAAGCAAGCAUACAAUGAUAGCGCGUUACAUGUCCUCUUCUGUCUUUAUUCUUUUUUCAUUUUUUUCCCUGAAAAAGGGCAUAUUAUCAAGUUGAUGCAGGUAAAAUGAGAUGAUACUUAACUAACGAUGUGUUCAUGUUUGACAAUGAAACUUCAAUUACCCACACAGGGAACUUAUCUAAAAUAAAAAUAUAUCACAAAAUGAAUUUCUCCAUUUUCGGAAAUUUUCUGAUUUACUUCCACAAAUAACUAACAGUAUAAAUAAAUCUCUUGAGAAGAGUCCAAAUCUCACUAUGCACUAGCCGUGAUAUUUUUUUAAUAUCCCAUAUUAAAUCGGGAUAAUUUCAUAUAAGAUUUAGGGCCCGUUUGAGAUUAU
rnacentral:lncRNA from 1 species